rnacentral:rRNA from 1 species
GAUUUUUAUACAUCAACUCAUUUUUUAACUAAUUUGUCUGAAAAAUAUUAUGAAUACUUAAUUCAAAAUACAACUUUCAACAACGGAUCUCUUGGCUCUCGCAUCGAUGAAGAACGCAGCGAAAUGCGAUACGUAAUGUGAAUUGCAGAAUUCAGUGAAUCAUCGAAUCUUUGAACGCAUAUUGCGCUCUCUGGUAUUCCGGAGAGCAUGCUUGUUUGAGUAUCAGUAAACACCCCUCAGAACUUCUUGAUUUUCGAAUCUUGGAGCUCUGGAUUUGAGUGAUCCCAACGCGUUCUUUCGCAGAACAUGGCGGGCCACUUGAAAUGCAGGUGCAGCUGGACUUUCUUCUGAGCUAAAAGCAUAUUUAUUUAGUCCUGUCAACACUUGUGUUGCGGAUUAUUACUUCUGCUGCAGCUAACAUAAAGGUUGAUUGUUCAAAUGCUGACUGAUGCAGGAUUUAUCAGUAGCGUAAGCUAUCUGUUAAACUCGAUCUCAAAUCAAGUAAGACUACCCGCUGAACUUAAGCAUAUCAAUAAGCGGAGGAAAAGAAACUAACAAGGAUUCCCCUAGUAACGGCGAGUGAAGCGGGAUGAGCUCAAAUUUAAAAUCUGGCUGGUUUACUAGUCCGAAUUGUAGUUUAAAGAAGCGUUUUCGGUGGCAGCCUGGGUAUAAAUCCUUUGGAAUAGGGUAUCAUAGAGGGUGAGAAUCCCGUCUUUGACUCAGUGAA